rnacentral:rRNA from 1 species
UACGGAGGGUGCUAGCGUUGUUCGGAAUUACUGGGCGUAAAGGGCGCGUAGGCGGCCGUUUGCGUCGGAUGUGAAAGCCCGGGGCUCAACCUCGGAACGGCAUUCGAUACGGGAGGGCUGGAGACCGGGAGAGGAGAGUGGAAUAGCCAGUGUAGAGGUGAAAUUCGUAGAUAUUGGCUGGAACACCGGUGGCGAAGGCGGCUCUCUGGCCCGAUUCUGACGCUGAGGCGCGAAAGCGUGGGGAGCAAACAGG